rnacentral:rRNA from 1 species
GACAGAGGGUGCAAACGUUGUUCGGAAUUACUGGGCGUAAAGCGCGUGUAGGCGGCCCUGCAAGUCGGAUGUGAAAUCCCACGGCUCAACCGUGGAAGUGCAUUCGAAACUGCAGGGCUAGAGUCCUGGAGAGGAUCGUGGAAUUCUCGGUGUAGAGGUGAAAUUCGUAGAUAUCGAGAGGAACACCGGUGGCGAAGGCGGCGAUCUGGACGGUGACUGACGCUGAGACGCGAAAGCGUGGGGAGCAAACAGG